AAUGGUCCAAAGCCUUGGUGGUGUGCAUAGGUGGGAUUCGGCGCCCGGAGACACCAGGGGCCUCAGCUCACCUCCCACUGCUUCUGGGCAGGAAAAGUGAAACCCAGGCCCUGACAAGC
ensembl:snoRNA